GACGAACGCUGGCGGCGUGCCUAAUACAUGCAAGUAGAACGCUGACUACUUUAGCUUGCUAGAGUAGAAGGAGUUGCGAACGGGUGAGUAACGCGUAGGUAACCUGCCUACUAGCGGGGGAUAACUAUUGGAAACGAUAGCUAAUACCGCAUAACAGUGUUUAACACAUGUUAGAUGCUUGAAAGAUGCAAAUGCAUCACUAGUAGAUGGACCUGCGUUGUAUUAGCUAGUUGGUGAGGUAACGGCUCACCAAGGCGACGAUCCGUAGCUGGUUUGAGAGGACGACCAGCCACACUGGGACUGAGACACGGCCCAG
rnacentral:rRNA from 1 species